rnacentral:rRNA from 1 species
GACGAACGCUGGCGGCGUGCCUAAUACAUGCAAGUUGAGCGAUGAAGAUUGGUGCUUGCACCAAUUUGAAGAGCAGCGAACGGGUGAGUAACGCGUGGGGAAUCUGCCUUUGAGCGGGGGACAACAUUUGGAAACGAAUGCUAAUACCGCAUAAUAACUUUAAACAUAAGUUUUAAGUUUGAAAGAUGCAAUUGCAUCACUCAAAGAUGAUCCCGCGUUGUAUUAGCUAGUUGGUGAGGUAAAGGCUCACCAAGGCGAUGAUACAUAGCCGACCUGAGAGGGUGAUCGGCCACAUUGGGACUGAGACACGGCCCAAACUCCUACGGGAGGCAGCAGUAGGGAAUCUUCGGCAAUGGACGAAAGUCUGACCGAGCAACGCCGCGUGAGUGAAAAGGUUUUCGGAUCGUAAAACUCUGUUGGUAGAGAAGAACGUUGGUGAGAGUGGAAAGCUCAUCAAGUGACGGUAACUACCCAGAAAGGGACGGCUAACUACGUG